CCGAAGUAUGGGAAUCUUUUCAAAUGUUUCACUGCUUGAAGAUAUGGAAAACGAGCCACAGAGAGGGGUCUUCAAAGUGUAGCCGUUAAAACAAUGUUUACCCAGCAAAUGGAAUCCGAAGUUGGGAGAGGCUUGAAGACAAAGGUUACAUCAAAUACACCUGGAAAUUUCAUUGGCUC